UGCUUCGGAAUCUUCCUUGUAGUGGGGAAUAACCUGGGGAAACUCGGGCUAAUACCGCAUACGAACCAAGGUUGAAAGCGGGGGAUCGCAAGACCUCGCGCUAUGAGACGAGCCGAAGUCGGAUUAGCUAGUUGGUGGGGUAAUGGCCUACCAAGGCGACGAUCCGUAGCUGGUCUGAGAGGACGACCAGCCACACUGGGACUGAGACACGGCCCAG
rnacentral:rRNA from 1 species